CAACAAUCAUUCCUGGAAAAACUUCACGAGUUCCCUUUACAAUAAGGUCCUCAGCACGGUUCAUAUCUAAAGGACGCAUGUCGUGAAGGUUAGAAACAAGUUGAGCACUGGCAAGGCGCUUGACACAGAAAGCGCCGAAUGGACCAUCAUGACCAGUAGCAGAAACAACCAAAUGGGCAUUAAUAGUGUUUGGGUCCAUGCAAGAUUGAAGACCGUGAUUCAAGGAAACAAGGGUCCAAUUUGUAACAACACCGGCAAUGCGUUGCUUACCAUCUUUUCCUUCCUUAACAAUCAAAUCUUCAACAGCAGUGGCAUUGAAAAGUUUGACAUUAGGAAGUGCCAAAGUACGGGCCAUAACAGUGCUGGUGAAAAGAGCGGCAUGUUUGACCACAACAUAAUCACCCUCAUCUUCGUAAGGAACACCAAUUUCAUUUAAGAAAAGAUCAGCUGGCUUACGAACAACCAUUGCACUAAAAAGCUGACCACCAAGCCAAGCACCACCACCUGGAGCAACACUAGCCUCGAUGAUAGCAAUCUUCAAAUCAGGGCGGCGAGUUCCAAUGUAGUAAGCUGCAGUAAGUCCUGCAGAACCAGCUCCAACAAUAACAAUGUCGGAUUCAGCAUAUUUAUCCAAGUCGCUGAAAUAGCGACGAGUCAUAGCACGGCUUACAGUGCUUUCACGAAUAGGAGCAAAGCUAAAUGACUCGUCCAAAGAGUAAGUAGGGUAAGCCUUUGAUAAAGCACCCAUUUCACUUUUCACUACAGUGUUAUGAGCAGUCUUUUCAACUGGCAAGUCAGUCUUGAAGGCAGUUUGGGGUGUAACGACAGCAGUAGCAGGGGCCAUUUUGAAACUUAAGAAUAAUAUUCAGAACCGAUAGUGGAAUGUUCAAUUGAUGCUGAAACAUGCUAUGAGCCCCCUUUAUAUAUCAAAAUUCUUACCAUCUUUCGACUUUCAUUUUUGUGACUACAAACAAACUUGCCUUUGGCUGCCGGGUUCAUAACUCCGUAGUAUCAAAUUUCGGUUACAUAUUUCCAGUUUCGGUUGCAAAUUAGUGGAUCUGAUUUUUUAAGCUUUUCUGGUCAUUUUAUAUAAAUCUUUGCAUAGAAAUAGUGUAGUCUGAUGAUAUGACACAAGCAUUAAUAUUGAACAGAGAUCGAAUUUUAAAGACAAUUAGCGUCAAAAAAAUUAAUUUUUUAAUGUUAGACUUAAGAUCAAUAGUACCACAAAAGU